GGCGGACGGGUGAGUAAUGUCUGGGAAACUGCCUGAUGGAGGGGGGAUAACUACUGGAAACGGUAGCUAAUACCGCAUAACGUCGCAAGACCAAAGAGGGGGACCUUCGGGCCUCUUGCCAUCGGAUGUGCCCAGAUGGGAUUAGCUAGUAGGUGGGGUAACGGCUCACCUAGGCGACGAUCCCUAGCUGGUCUGAGAGGAUGACCAGCCACACUGGAACUGAGACACGGUCCAGACUCCUACGGGAGGCAGCAUG
rnacentral:rRNA from 1 species